rnacentral:rRNA from 1 species
UACGAAGGGGGCUAGCGUUGCUCGGAUUUACUGGGCGUAAAGGGCGCGUAGGCGGACAGUUAAGUCAGAGGUGAAAGCCCAGGGCUCAACCCUGGAAUUGCCUUUGAUACUGGCUGUCUUGAGUGCGGGAGAGGUGUGUGGAACUCCGAGUGUAGAGGUGAAAUUCGUAGAUAUUCGGAAGAACACCAGUGGCGAAGGCGACACACUGGCCCGUAACUGACGCUGAGGCGCGAAAGCGUGGGGAGCAAACAGG